ensembl:lncRNA
GGGGUAUCUAGGUUAGUCAGACUAAUGUUGGGGGUAUCUAGGUUAGUCAGACUAACGUUGGGGCUAUCUAGGUUAGUCAGACUAAUGUUAGGUGUAUCUAGGUUAGUCAGACUAAUGUUAGAUGUAUCUAGGUUAGUCAGACUAAUGUUGGGGGUAUCUAGCUUAGUCAGACUAACGUUGGGGGUAUCUAGGUUAGUCAGACUAAUGUUAGGUGUAUCUAGGUUAGUCAGACUAAUGUUGGGGGUAUCUAGGUUAGUCAGACUAAUGUUAGGGGUAUCUAGGUUAGUCAGACUAAUGUUAGGUGUAUCUAGGUUAGUCAGACUAAUGUUAGGGGUAUCUAGGUUAGUCAGACUAAUGUUGGGGGUAUCUAG